rnacentral:rRNA from 1 species
UGGCUACGUUCGGAAAGGAUAACCGCUGAAAGCAUCUAAGCGGGAAGCCUGCUUCGAGAUGAGGACUCCCACCUCCUUUGAGGGGUUAAGGCUCCCAGUAGACGACUGGGUUGAUAGGCCGGAUAUGGAAGCCAGGUGACUGGUGGAGUUGACCGGUACUAAUAGGCCGAGGGCUUGUCCUCAGUUG